rnacentral:rRNA from 1 species
GGAGUCUGGGCCGUGUCUCAGUCCCAGUCUGGAUGAUCAUCCUCUCAAACCAUCUAACGAUCGUCGACUUGGUGAGCCAUUACCUCACCAACUAUCUAAUCGUACGCAGGCCAUUCCCAAACCGCCGAAGCUUUAAUCCGAAGAUCACAUGCGGUAUUAGCCACUCUUUCGAGUAGUUAUCCCUCAGUUUGGGGUACGUUCCCACGCGUUACUCAGCCGUCCGCCGCUCGUCAGCGGGGCUUCACUGUGCUCUUAAAUCUUACCCUCCGCAACACUGCCCGAGGUGUUAAGAACACGGUGAAGCCCCCUGUUACCGCUCGACUUGCAUGUAUUAGGCACGCCGCCAGCAUUCAUC